UACGGAGGGUGCGAGCGUUGUCCGGAAUCAUUGGGCGUAAAGGGCGCGUAGGUGGCGGGACAAGCGUGCGGUGAAAGCUUGGGGCUCAACCCCGAGUCGGCCGUGCGAACUGUCUUGCUUGAGCACUGUAGAGGCAGGCGGAAUUCCGGGUGUAGCGGUGGAAUGCGUAGAGAUCCGGAAGAACACCGGUGGCGAAGGCGGCCUGCUGGGCAGUAGCUGACACUGAGGCGCGACAGCGUGGGGAGCGAACCGG
rnacentral:rRNA from 1 species